rnacentral:misc_RNA from 1 species
AACCAUUCUCACCUGCGGCUAGACCUGCGGAGGGAUCAUUACCUAGAGUUGUAGGCUUUGCCUGCUAUCUCUUACCCAUGUCUUUUGAGUACCUUACGUUUCCUCGGCGGGUUCGCCCGCCGGUUGGACAAAACUUAAACCCUUUGUAGUUGCAAUCAGCGUCUGAAAAAACUUAAUAGUUACAACUUUUAACAACGGAUCU